rnacentral:rRNA from 1 species
AACGUAGGUGGCGAGCGUUAUCCGGAUUUAUUGGGUUUAAAGGGUGCGUAGGCGGUUCUAUAAGUCAGUGGUGAAAUCCGGCAGCUCAACUGUCGAUGUGCCAUUGAUACUGCAGAACUUGAGUACAGACGAGGUAGGCGGAAUUGACGGUGUAGCGGUGAAAUGCUUAGAUAUCGUCAAGAACACCGAUAGCGAAGGCAGCUUACUAGACUGUAACUGACGCUGAUGCACGAAAGUGUGGGGAUCAAACAGG